rnacentral:rRNA from 1 species
GACGAACGCUGGCGGCGUGCUUAACACAUGCAAGUCGAACGGAAAGGCCCUGCUUUUGUGGGGUGCUCGAGUGGCGAACGGGUGAGUAACACGUGAGUAACCUGCCCUUGACUUUGGGAUAACUUCAGGAAACUGGGGCUAAUACCGGAUAGGAGCUCCUGCUGCAUGGUGGGGGUUGGAAAGUUUCGGCGGUUGGGGAUGGACUCGCGGCUUAUCAGCUUGUUGGGGGGGUAGUGGCUGACCAAGGCUUUGACGGGUAGCCGGCAUGAGAGGGUGACCGGCGACAUUGGGACUGAGAUACGGCCCAGACUCCUACGGGAGGCAGCAGUGGGGAAUAUUGCACAAUGGGCGGAAGCCUGAUGCAGCAACGCCGCGUGCGGGAUGACGGCCUUCGGGUUGUAAACAGCUUUCGCCUGUGACGAAGCGUGAGUGACGGUAAUGGGUAAAGAAGCACCGGCUAACUACGUG